UACGAAGGUCCCGAGCGUUGUUCGGAAUCACUGGGCGUAAAGGGAGCGUAGGCGGCAUGGUAAGUCAGAUGUGAAAUCCCGGGGCUCAACCCCGGAACUGCAUCCGAUACUGCCUUGCUUGAGGGUUGGAGAGGUGACUGGAAUUAUCGGUGUAGCAGUGAAAUGCGUGGAUAUCGAUAGGAACACUCGUGGCGAAGGCGAGUCACUGGACAACAUCUGACGCUGAGGCUCGAAGGCUAGGGGAGCAAAA
rnacentral:rRNA from 1 species